rnacentral:rRNA from 1 species
AACGAACGCUGGCGGCAUGCCUAACACAUGCAAGUCGAACGAGACCUUCGGGUCUAGUGGCGCACGGGUGCGUAACGCGUGGGAACCUGCCCUUAGGUUCGGAAUAACUCCCCGAAAGGGGUGCUAAUACCGGAUAAUGUCUUCGCACCAAAGAUUUAUCGCCUUUGGAUGGGCCCGCGUUGGAUUAGCUAGUUGGUAGGGUAAAAGCCUACCAAGGCGACGAUCCAUAGCUGGUCUGAGAGGAUGAUCAGCCACACUGGGACUGAGACACGGCCCAGACUCCUACGGGAGGCAGCAGUGGGGAAUAUUGGACAAUGGACGAAAGCCUGAUCCAGCAAUGCCGCGUGAGUGAUGAAGGCCUUAGGGUUGUAAAGCUCUUUUACCCGGGAUGAUAAUGACAGUACCGGGAGAAUAAGCUCCGGCUAACUCCGUG